rnacentral:tRNA from 1 species
ACUAAAAUAGUUUAAUAAAAAUAUUAAUUUUGUAAAUUAAAGUUGUAUCUCUUUUAGUA